rnacentral:rRNA from 1 species
CCUACGGGUGGCAGCAGUGAGGAAUAUUGGUCAAUGGCCGUAAGGCUGAACCAGCCAAGUCGCGUGAAGGAAGAAGGAUCUAUGGUUUGUAAACUUCUUUUAUAGGGGAAUAAAGGUAUCCACGUGUGGAUAUUUGCAUGUACCCUAUGAAUAAGCAUCGGCUAACUCCGUGCCAGCAGCCGCGGUAAUACGGAGGAUGCGAGCGUUAUCCGGAUUUAUUGGGUUUAAGGGGAGCGUAGGUGGAUUGUUAAGUCAGUUGUGAAAGUUUGCGGCUCAACCGUAAAAUUGCAGUUGACACUGGCAGUCUUGAGUACAGUAGAGGUGGGCGGAAUUCGUGGUGUAGCGGUGAAAUGCUUAGAUAUCACGCAGAACUCCGAUUGCGAAGGCAGCUUACUAAGCCAUAACUGACACUGAAGCACGAAAGCGUGGGGAUCAAACAGGAUUAGAUACCCCUGUAGUC